UCCCUGGUGGCUCAGAGGGUAAAGCAUCUGUCUGCAAUGCAGGAGACCCAGGUUCCAUUCUGGGCUCGGGAA
rnacentral:tRNA from 1 species